AACGAACGCUGGCGGCAUGCCUAACACAUGCAAGUCGAACGAGACCUUCCGGUCUAGUGGCGCACGGGUGCGUAACGCGUGGGAACCUGCCCUUAGGUUCGGAAUAACUCCCCGUAAGGGGUCCUAAUACCGGAUAAUGUCUUCGGACCAAAGAUCUAUCGCCGUUGGAUGGGCCCGCGUUGGAUUAGCUAGUUGGUAGGGUAAAAGCCUACCAAGGCGACGAUCCAUAGCUGGUCUGAGAGGAUGAUCAGCCACACUGGGACUGAGACACGGCCCAGAAUCCUACGGGAGGCAGCAGUGGGGAAUAUUGGACAAUGGGCGAAAGUCUGAUACAGCAAUGCCGCGUAAGUGAUGAAGGCCUUAGGGUUGUAAAGCUCUUUUACCCGGGAUGAUAAUGACAGUACCGGGAGAAUAAGCUCCGGCUAACUCCGUG
rnacentral:rRNA from 1 species